UGCAGUCGAGCGGUAGCACAGAGAGCUUGCUCUCGGGUGACGAGCGGCGGACGGGUGAGUAAUGUCUGGGAAACUGCCUGAUGGAGGGGGAUAACUACUGGAAACGGUAGCUAAUACCGCAUAACGUCGCAAGACCAAAGUGGGGGACCUUCGGGCCUCAUGCCAUCAGAUGUGCCCAGAUGGGAUUAGCUGGUAGGUGGGGUAACGGCUCACCUAGGCGACGAUCCCUAGCUGGUCUGAGAGGAUGACCAGCCACACUGGAACUGAGACACGGUCCAGACUCCUACGGGAGGCAGCAGUGGGGAAUAUUGCACAAUGGGCGCAAGCCUGAUGCAGCCAUGCCGCGUGUGUGAAGAAGGCCUUCGGGUUGUAAAGCACUUUCAGCGGGGAGGAAGGCCGAUGAGGUUAAUAACCUCGCCGAUUGACGUUACCCGCAGAAGAAGCACCGGCUAACUCCGUGCCAGCAGCCGCGGUAAUACGGAGGGU
rnacentral:rRNA from 1 species